UACGGAGGGUGCGAGCGUUAAUCGGAAUGACUGGGCGUAAAGGGCAUGUAGGCGGAUGGUUAAGUUAGAUGUGAAAUCCCUGGGCUUAACCUAGGAAUUGCAUUUAAAACUGGUUAUCUAGAGUAUUGUAGAGGAAGGUAGAAUUCCAUGUGUAGCGGUGAAAUGCGUAGAGAUGUGGAGGAAUACCGGUGGCGAAGGCGGCCUUCUGGACAGAUACUGACGCUGAGAUGCGAAAGCGUGGGGAGCAGACAGG
rnacentral:rRNA from 1 species